UACGUAGGGUGCGAGCGUUAAUCGGAAUUACUGGGCGUAAAGCGUGCGCAGGCGGUUCGUUAAGUCAGAUGUGAAAGCCCCGGGCUCAACCUGGGAACUGCAUUUGAAACUGGCGGGCUUGAGUGUGGCAGAGGGGGGUGGAAUUCCGCGUGUAGCAGUGAAAUGCGUAGAGAUCGGGAGGACACCAGUGGCGAAGGCGACUACCUGGACCAGCACUGACACUGAGGCACGAAGCGUGGGGAGCAAACAGG
rnacentral:rRNA from 1 species